UUUUUUUCUCCCGGUCCUGCCCCUGUCCCUCCCCGAGCACUCCGUGUGUGCCGGCCGGCGGGCCGGGCCGUAUAAAAGAGCGUGGAAAGGGUCACCGCGGGUCCGGACGAAGCUGUGGGCCCGGCCCGGCCCGGGUGGGCGGGCCCGGGACCUUUGCGGGAGGAGGGCGGUGGGCGACCGUGUGUCCGCGGGCCCCCCAGGACCGACGGCCAGUCCUGCCGACCCUCCCGCUCGCCUUGGGGUGAGGGUGGUGGUCGUAGGACGCCGGGGUCCCUCGGGCUGGCCGGGAUGACCCUCGGAGGGGAUGGGGGCUGGGGAUCUGGGCCCGGAUACCCCCCAAUGGAUUUACUUGGCGCUGCCCCAAGGACUCAGGGGUCCCGAGUCGCCCGGACUCUGUGGAUUUACUCGCCGCCCCUUCCUACCCGAGCUGGAGCUAACAGGAGCGUUGUGGCAGACCCCGGGAUGUUUUGGGACAGAAGGCGAUGGCUGAUUAGCCCAAGUGAAUACGAUUUCUGAAGCGGGGAAAGCAAGAGCUUGCAGAGACAGUCGCUUCAGAGCUGUGGCUCGAGACUGGAAGUUGGAGGAGACUGCUUCUGGUGGUGCUAUGGGAUCCGUGGAUGGCGAUGGAGCCCAAGGGUGCAGUGCAUUCUGUGUAGAAGACCACUGGGGCCAACAGAGCAUUGGCAAGUCUUUAUCUUCCAGAUCGUAGGGGCUGUGUCACCACACCAUUCCCCGGCUCUUCUCUUUCUUGAACUGGGAUCCUCCGAUAAAGGCUCUUGCCUUUUGAAGACCAAAAGUCUGGCCACCCAACUCAACUCCUCUGCCCCCUUCCUGGUUUCCGGCUGGGCCUACUGGACAGAGCCGCUCUUCAGUUCGCUCGGUUAUCUACCGGCCGGAUACAGGGGUGAAUAGUUAACGACUCUCGGGUCAAACAGGAGCUCAAUUUCUUCCUGCUCUUUCUUGAGGGCCCGGUGUUUACCCAUCGCCGUGGAAGCCGUUGUGGAAUUUUAUUUUCCUUCCCCUCCUGAUGGGCUCGGACAAGGGGCCUCACUGGCACCAGGAGGACGGAUUGGGGAACAGCAUCAGCCAGACGACCGGAGCCGUGGGAUGUGAAGAGAGAAGAGGGGAGGAGAUCCAGCUUUCCAGAGCCGGGGGUUAUGGAGAAAGAGGAGGGAAGAGAAACCUCGUGAUCCUUGCAUGGACGGGGUUCACAGUUGAAGUGUGUGAGGUAUAUGGGAGCCGUGAAGAACUCCAGCCUUGCUGCUGGGACUCUUGAUGCCUAAGAGGAUCAUGGAUUCAGCCCUUGGAUGGUUUAAGGAACUAUGUGUGAGUGUGUGUGGGUCAUCCAAGUACACAGAGGUCUCUUUCACACCCGUCUGAUCAGCAGGAAUUUGCUGGGAAUCGAACAGUCAUAAUGAGGCUGUGAAGUGCCAAGGUUUUUCCUCAGCCUCUCCUCAUCUCCAGAUGCAACCCUGCCUAGGGGGAAGAGCCCAGGCUCGGGGGGCAGAGGACCUGCAUUCUAAUCCCAGUGCCAUCACUUGCCUGCUGGGUAACUUUGGACACUGAGGAACAGAGAAGUUGAGGGGCUUAUCUAAGAUCACCCAGCGUGUGAGUGGCAGAGCUGGGAUUAGUGCCCUGGUCUCCUGAUUCCUGGUCCUGGGCUCUUCCCAUAACUUUGAGGGGGUCUACGAGCUGUGUUGUAUUCUCCAAAGGGUGUAGCACAAAGUGAGCACUCAAUAAAUACUAUUGAUCAAUUAAUUCCCA